rnacentral:rRNA from 1 species
UACGGGGGGAGCAAGCGUUGUUCGGAUUUACUGGGCGUAAAGGGCGCGUAGGCGGUCAGCACAAGUCAGUUGUGAAAUCUCCGGGCUUAACUCGGAAAGGUCAACUGAUACUGUGCGACUAGAGUGCGGAAGGGGCAACUGGAAUUCUCGGUGUAGCGGUGAAAUGCGUAGAUAUCGAGAGGAACACCUGCGGCGAAGGCGGGUCUCUGGAAAAUACCUGACACUGAGGCACGAAAGCUAGGGGAGCAAACAGG